rnacentral:sRNA from 1 species
GAAAGGGAACUCGUACAGGCCAAAUGGUU